GAGGGUAUAGCUCAAUGGUAGAGAGCAUGCUUAGUAAGACAAGGUUCUGGGUUCAAUACCUAGUACCUCCA
rnacentral:tRNA from 1 species